GGCAAAGACUCAGAUGCGUAAAGGAGCAUUGGGGAGGGCAAAGACUCAGAUGCGUAAAGGAGCAUUGGGGAGGGCCAAAAUGUCUGUCUACUCAAACGGGAUAGCUGGUUAAGAAGAAAAUGACCGGAAGCAAAGAUGUCCUGCUUCCAGGAUUGAUCCAAGAGUAUCAAAUGAAGAAGUGGCUACAUUCAGAGGGACGUCUUCCAUUUUUCCUUACAAAUGGAACCACUUCCUGGAUUGCAGAUCUGUCCUAUCUCUAAAGCUUUGCUUACAGAUUCUGAAUGUAUUACUCUAACUCAGCCAAAGGUCCUGAAAUUUUGCUCAAAUAAAGACAGAAUUAAGCUCUUUGAUCUCAGCUACCAAAAUCUUACUUCCAUC